rnacentral:tRNA from 1 species
AGCAGUGUGGCUCAGUGGCAAGAGCAGGGGCUUAAGAGUCAGAGGACCUGGGUUCUAAUCCCAGCUCGGCUG